rnacentral:rRNA from 1 species
UCGCCAAACAACUACGAGUAGUAACUUAAAACUUAAAAGACUUGACGGUGCUUCAUCACAGCCUAGAGGAGCCUGUCUAAUAACCGACAACCCACGUUUAACCCCACCCCUUCUUGCCAACAGUCUAUAUACCACCGUCGCAAGCUUACCCCGUAAGAGUUUUAAAGUGAGCUACAAAGUUGUACACUUAAACGACAGGUCGAGGUGUAACCCAUGAGGGGGACAAAGAUGGGCUACAUUCUCUAACCAGAGAACACGAAUCUCACUAUGAACAUGGUGACUGAAGGAGGAUUUAGCAGUAAGAUAAGAAUAAAAUACCUAACUGAACAUUAAGCAAUGAAGUGCGUACACACCGCCCGUCAUCCCUGCCCAC